AUUGAACGCUGGCGGCAGGCCUAACACAUGCAAGUCGAACGAGUGGCGGACGGGUGAGUAAUGUCUGGGAAACUGCCUGAUGGAGGGGGAUAACUACUGGAAACGGUAGCUAAUACCGUAUACCAUCGUAUGUGCCCAUAUGGGAUUAGCUAGUAGGUGGGGUAACGGCUCACCUAGGCGACGAUCCCUAGCUGGUCUGAGAGGAUGACCAGCCACACUGGAACUGAGACACGGUCCAGACUCCUACGGGAGGCAGCAGUGGGGAAUAUUGCACAAUGGGCGCAAGCCUGAUGCAGCCAUGCCGCGUGUAUGAAGAAGGCCUUAGGGUUGUAAAGUACUUUCAGCGGGGAGGCGUUACCCACAGAAGAAGCACCGGCUAACUCCGUGCCAGCAGCCGCGGUAAUUC
rnacentral:rRNA from 1 species